CAGCCGCCGCGGUAAUACGGAGGGCGCGAGCGUUACCCGGAUUUACUGGGCGUAAAGGGCGUGUAGGCGGCCUGGGGCGUCCCAUGCGAAAGGCCACGGCUCAACCGUGGAGGAGCGUGGGGUACGCUCAGGCUAGAGGGUGGGAGAGGGUGGUGGAAUUCCCGGAGUAGCGGUGAAAUGCGCAGAUACCGGGAGGAACGCCGAUGGCGAAGGCAGCCACCUGGUCCACUUCUGACGCUGAGGCGCGAAAGCGUGGGGAGCAAACCGGAUUAGAUACCCCCGUAGUCCCUGUCUCUUAUAC
rnacentral:rRNA from 1 species